AUUGAACGCUGGCGGCAGGCCUAACACAUGCAAGUCGAGCGGUAGCACAGGGAGCUUGCUCCCGGGUGACGAGCGGCGGACGGGUGAGUAAUGUCUGGGAAACUGCCUGAUGGAGGGGGAUAACUACUGGAAACGGUAGCUAAUACCGCAUAACGUCGCAAGACCAAAGAGGGGGACCUUCGGGCCUCUUGCCAUCAGAUGUGCCCAGAUGGGAUUAGCUAGUAGGUGGGGUACGGCUCACCUAGGCGACGAUCCCUAGCUGGUCUGAGAGGAUGACCAGCCACACUGGAACUGAGACACGGUCCAGACUCCUACGGGAGGCAGCAGUGGGGAAUAUUGCACAAUGGGCGCAAGCCUGAUGCAGCCAUGCCGCGUGUAUGAAGAAGGCCUUCGGGUUGUAAAGUACUUUCAGCGGGGAGGAAGGUGUUGUGGUUAAUAACCACAGCAAUUGACGUUACCCGCAGAAGAAGCACCGGCUAACUCCGUGCCAGCAGCCGCAGUAACAC
rnacentral:rRNA from 1 species